ACCACUUGAGCAUAACCAAUCUACAAGAAAAAUGACUUCGAUAUCAAUAUUACCAGUAAAUAGUAGUUCUACACCGACUAGUAAUGAAUCUAUUUGUGAUAUUAUUGAUAUUGAUGAAAAUGGAAAAAGAAAGUUGACAUCUGAUGUGUGAAAUCAUUUUAAGAAGAUAAAAAUUGAUAGAAAAGACAAAGCACAAUGCAAUCAUUAUAAAAAAUAUCUUUUAGGAGGGA
rnacentral:lncRNA from 1 species